AGGACGAACGCUGGCGGCGUGCUUAACACAUGCAAGUCGAGCGGAAAGGCCCUUCGGGGUACUCGAGCGGCGAACGGGUGAGUAACACGUGAGCAACCUGCCCUUAGCUCCGGGAUAGCUCCGGGAAACCGGAAUUAAUACCGGAUAUGACCUAGGCCGACAUCGGCUGUGGUGGAAAGUUUUUCGGCUGGGGAUGGACUCGCGGCCUAUCAGCUUGUUGGUGGGGUAAUGGCCUACCAAGGCGACGACGGGUAGCCGGCCUGAGAGGGCGACCGGCCACACUGGGACUGAGACACGGCCCAGACUCCUACGGGAGGCAGCAGUGGGGAAUCUUGCGCAAUGGGCGAAAGCCUGACGCAGCGACGCCGCGUGGGGGAUGAAGGCCUUCGGGUUGUAAACCCCUUUCAGCAGGGACGAAGCGAAAGUGACGGUACCUGCAGAAGAAGACGCCGGCUAACUACGUGCCAGCAGCCGC
rnacentral:rRNA from 1 species